rnacentral:rRNA from 1 species
AUUGAACGCUGGCGGCAGGCCUAACACAUGCAAGUCGAGCGGAUGAAGGGAGCUUGCUCCUGGAUUCAGCGGCGGACGGGUGAGUAAUGCCUAGGAAUCUGCCUGGUAGUGGGGGAUAACGUCCGGAAACGGGCGCUGAUACCGCAUACGUCCUGAGGGAGAAAGUGGGGGAUCUUCGGACCUCACGCUAUCAGAUGAGCCUAGGUCGGAUUAGCUAGUUGGUGGGGUAAAGGCCUACCAAGGCGACGAUCCGUAACUGGUCUGAGAGGAUGAUCAGUCACACUGGAACUGAGACACGGUCCAGACUCCUACGGGAGGCAGCAGUGGGGAAUAUUGGACAAUGGGCGAAAGCCUGAUCCAGCCAUGCCGCGUGUGUGAAGAAGGUCUUCGGAUUGUAAAGCACUUUAAGUUGGGAGGAAGGGCAGUAAGUUAAUACCUUGCUGUUUUGACGUUACCAACAGAAUAAGCACCGGCUAACUUCGU